rnacentral:lncRNA from 1 species
GUGGCAUAAAGGAGCUCGGGGCAGCCGCCCACUCUCUUCAGUGCCUGCAGCUGGGAUGAAUCCUGCAGGGGCAGAUAGCAGCCAUGGUGGGGAGAACAGCCCCUGUCCUCAGCAGCCACACAGGAACAUGGUCCUCAGGGCCCAUCACUGGGGACCAAGCGGUCACUCUGCGCCUGACAGAGAGGCGCCCAGGGUCUGCAGGUACUUCCAGCGUGGCUUCUGCUUCCGUGGAGACAGGUGCAGCUAUUGGCACCUGGUGCCCACCAGCCCCCUAGAGUGGGGCCGCCGCUAUUCUGAGCCACUUGUCACCAGGCCGGGUCCCUGGCCAGGCCUGACCCGCAGGGCCUCCGAGCCCACCUUCCCGCCCUCUGUGGUUGUGGACUGGGGCCAGGGCUGGCUUGGGGCCCGCUGGGGCAUGGAGUUGGGCCUGGAGGAGGCUGGAGGCAGCUCUUGGAGGUCCCUGUCUUCGUCAUCUGCUGCCUGGGAGCCCAGCCUGGCCCAGGAGCCCCAGCCCGGGUCCGACCCGGUCGGGGAGCUCUCGGGCGCCCUUCAGAGCCUGGACCUGGCAGAGGUAGGGCGGGGCUGCGGGGCAGGGGUG